GCCCAUAGCGCCCGCCGGAUGUGUCGUCAACGGGCUUCCGGACGGCGCUCGGGCCUUGGCCCUGGAGACGGGAGGAACGGCCGCGGGUCCAGUGUUGGACAGAGUUCUCACCUUAAGCAGAACUGGAUGUGAAUGGCCAUUGAGAAAAUUAUUUAUUUUCUCGGAUUGUAGCGGUUUUACCAUGGGGAACAGUGCGCUGAAAGCUCACCUGGAAACUGCACAGAAGACGGGCGUGUUCCAGCUCACAGGGAAAGGCCUGAAUGAGUUCCCCAUGGACCUGCAGAGACUGUCAACAAAUUUGAGAAUGGUGGAUCUUUCGGGAAACAAGAUGGAGACCUUGCCUUCUGUCAUUGGGCAGUUUUCAGUACUGAAGAGCCUGACUCUCAACAGCAAUAGAUUGGCUGUUCUUCCUGAGGAUUUGGGCAAGCUGAAGAAACUGGAGAAUCUUCACCUCAAUGGUAACUCACUGAAAAAUCUCCCUUCCAGCUUCGGGCAGCUGGCAGCCCUGAAGACCCUGAGUCUCUCUGGGAACCGGCUGAAGGAGUUUCCACUCCAGCUAUGUCAACUCCGACACCUGGAUGUGGUGGAUCUGUCCAAGAACAAAAUCCAACGUCUCCCAGAUGAAGUGGAGCAGCUGCAGGCCAUUGAGCUCAAUGUCAACCAGAACCAGGUUUCUCAGAUCUCGCCACACAUCUCCCGCUGUCCGCGACUGAAGGUGCUGCGGUUGGAGGAGAACUGUUUGGAAAUCUCCAUGAUCCCCAACAGCAUCCUGGCCGAUUCCCAGAUCUCCCUGCUGGCUGUUGAGGGAAAUCUUUUUGAAAUCAGGAAACUGCAAGAGUUGGAGGGUUACGACAAGGUUGGUCAGGGUGACGUGGACAAAGUUGUAAUGGCCAUGUGAAGCAGGGGGAGCUGCUGCUUGAGGCCGGUGUUCCCGGUGGUUGCAAGAAGUGGAGACAGAGAGAUGAGACCAUGAAUUCACCAGUCACAUUGUUUGCUCGAUUGAUUUGUUCUAUACUAAGAAUUGCAUUAUCCUAACCUCUCCGUGUACUUCCACAUCCAUUCUUCUAAAUACUCCCUAAAUGCAUUUUAAUCCCAAGCAUGUUUAUCCCACUUUUUCACUCACACAUAUUCCCAUUAUAAUCUGAAGAAGGGUUUCGGCCCGAAACGUCGCCUAUUUCCUUCGCUCCAUAGAUGCUGCUGCACCCGCUGAAUUUCUCCAGCAUUUUUGUGUACCUUCCCAUUAUAAUCCCUUUCUUGUACACUUCAAUUUCUCACCAAUUCCACAACUUGCUUUUACUUUCUACCUCCUAACAUUCCAUUUUCCCUCCAGUAUCCCACCCCCGUGAGCAGGCACUGAACGAGCAUGGUGGUGUUGCAUCAGGUCGGGAGCUGGGGAGUGCUGCACUGUCCUGAUGAGGUAGUUGUGGUACUGCUGCCAUCUGACCCAUGAUUGUUCUUUUCUCCUUUCAGUACAUGGAACGUUUUACAGCAACAAAGAAGAAAUUUGCAUAAUGAACAUGCUGGUGAAAGAAUGCUUCGUCCGUGGGUCAGCAGGCAGACUAGCCUAGGAAUGGCUGGCUAUACAGCGGUAGUACUUGUUAGUCCAUAAGUGGACGUACCCCUGAUGGACUGGAGGAGAAAUGAACAUUUCCUUGCCUGUUUGAAGCUGAUAGUCUUAUGCAGUACUAAAUGCUCUAGUUUAAGCUGCUGUUCAAUGAGGGCCUGAGCUCUACUCACUCCAAAUAAGCUACUGCUGUUGCACAAUUGAUCUCUUCAACAUUUUUGCACACUACAUUGCGGGGUGGAAUCGUACAAUAGUCCUUACUCUGUAACUGUUGGAGUUUAACCUCGGCAGAAAUCUGGUUGUAGCAGUUUCUGUGCUGUCACAGCUGUUUUAAGCUCUAAUUGCAACCAUAUUCACUGGUCUUAACUUUUGCUGAUGGGAAAGGCCACUGCUUGUGUUAUUUAGAAGAGCAGUUUGUAUAACAUAUUUUGCAUAUAAAAUGUUCUGUUCAUCUAUUUUGAUGUGAUUUGAUGUAAUAAGGGAAAUAAGGUAAAAGUUUCUCCUGAACCAAUCCGAGCCCAAUCCCCCACUUUGGGAUUGGGACGCGACAAUCCUUAACUAUAUUUCAAUUACCAUGACUACAUUUCGAGAAUAGACAUCUUAAUUAAAAAAAAAAGAAAUGAGGCUGUUAAAGAUGAAAGCUUUAAAGUUGUGAUCACAUUUCGCAUUAAACAUUAUUUCCCAAUGUACUCAGUUGGAAACAAAUGAUUAAAUGUACAAUAUAUA